UUUUGAUGGGCGUCGACCGGCGCACGGGUGAGUAACGCGUAUCCAACCUGCCCAUCACUUGGGGAUAACGCAUCGAAAGAUGUGCUAAUACCGCGUAAGACCACAGCUUCACAUGGAGCAGAGGUCAAAGGAGCAAUCCGGAUAAAGAUGGGCUCGCGUCCGAUUAGCUAGUUGGUGAGAUAACAGCCCACCAAGGCGACGAUCGGUAGCCGACCUGAGAGGGUGAUCGGCCACAUUGGAACUGAGAAACGGUCCAGACUCC
rnacentral:rRNA from 1 species